rnacentral:rRNA from 1 species
AACAGUUAUAAUCUACUUGAUGUUUUUAAUAUAAGGAUAACUACGGAAAAUCUGUAGCUAAUACUUGUGAAAAUACCUUUUGAUAUAUACAUAUGUAUGUAUCAUUAAGGUAUGUAUUUGUUAGAUAUAAGAAUAAAAUAAAUAUAAUUGAAUUAUAACAAAGAAGAAACACAUAAAAUAUGUGUAUUAUCAAUCGAGUAUCUGACCUAUCAGCUUUUGAUGUUAGGGUAUUGACCUAACAUGGCUAUGACGGGUAACGGGGAAUUAGAGUUCGAUUCCGGAGAGGGAGCCUGAGAAAUAGCUACCACAUCUAAGGAAGGCAGCAGGCGCGUAAAUUACCCAAUUCUAAAAAAGAGAGGUAGUGACAAGAAAUAACAAUACAAUAUCGAAAAAUGAUUUUGUAAUUGGAAUGAUAGGAAUUUACAAGGUUCCUAGAGAAACAAUUGGAGGGCAAGUCUGGUGCCAGCAGCCGCGGUAAUUCCAGCUCCAAUAGCAUAUAUUAAAAUUGUUGCAGUUAAAACGUUCGUAGUUGAAUAUUAAAGAAUCCGAUGUUUCAUUUAAACUGGUUUGGGAAAACCAAAUAUAUUAUAUAUUUUGCUUUGUUCAAAAUAAGGUUUUCUAAUAAAUUAUGUUUUUAUCAGAUAUGACAGAAUCUUUUUUAAAAUCUCUUCAAUAUGCUUUUAUUGCUUUUGAGAGGUUUUGUUACUUUGAGUAAAAUUAAGUGUUCAUAACAGACGGGUAGUCAUGAUUGAGUUCAUUGUGUUUGAAUACUACAGCAUGGAAUAACAAAUAUGAAUAAGCUAAUUAUUUUUUUUUUUUCAUUAUUUUUUUUGAUAUUCUUAUUAGCUUAGUUACGAUUAAUAGGAGUAGCUUUGGGGGCAUUCGUAUUCAGAUGUCAGAGGUGAAAUUCUAAGAUUUUCUGGAGACGGACUACUGCGAAAGCAUUUGCCUAAUCUAUUUCCAUUAAUCAAGAACGAAAGUUAAGGGAGUGAAGACGAUCAGAUACCGUCGUAAUCUUAACCAUAAACUAUACCGACUAGGUGUUGGAUGAAUAUAAAAAAUAUAUAAAUAUGUAGCAUUUCUUAGGGAAUGUUGAUUUUAUAUUAGAAUUGCUUCCUUCAGUACCUUAUGAGAAAUCAAAGUCUUUGGGUUCUGGGGCGAGUAUUCGCGCAAGCGAGAAAGUUAAAAGAAUUGACGGAAGGGCACCACCAGGCGUGGAGCUUGCGGCUUAAUUUGACUCAACACGGGAAAACUCACUAGUUUAAGACAAGAGUAGGAUUGACAGAUUAAUAGCUCUUUCUUGAUUUCUUGGAUGGUGAUGCAUGGCCGUUUUUAGUUCGUGAAUAUGAUUUGUCUGGUUAAUUCCGAUAACGAACGAGAUCUUAACCUGCUAAUUAGCGGUAAGUACACUAUAUUUUUAUUUGAAAUUGAAUAUAGGUAAUUAUACAUGUUUAUUCAGUGUUCAAAUUAGGAUAUUUUUUUAUUAAAAUAUUCUUUUCCCUGUUCUACUAUAAUAAUUUGUUUUUUUUUACUCUAUUUCUCUCUUCUUUUAAGAAUGUACUUGUUUGAUUAAAUAAAGCUUCUUAGAGGAACAGUGUGUAUCUAACACAAGGAAGUUUAAGGCAACAACAGGUCUGUGAUGUCCUUAGAUAAACUAGGCUGCACGCGUGCUACAAUGAUAUAUAUAACAAGUUGUUAAAAAUGUACUUAUAAAUAAGUGUGUACAGUUUUUCCUGUACUGAAAAGUAUAGGUAAUCUUUAUCAGUAUAUAUCGUAAUUGGGAUAGAUUAUUGCAAUUAUUAAUCUUGAACGAGGAAUGCCUAGUAAGCAUGAUUCAUUAGAUUGUGCUGACUACGUCCCUGCCCUUUGUACACACCGCCCGUCGCUCCUACCGAUUGAAAGAUAUGAUAAAUUGUUUGGAUAUGAAUUAAAAUAAUGAAAUUUUAUAUUUCUGAUUUUUUCUAGAAGAACUGUAAAUCCUAUCUUUUAAAGGAAGGAGAAGUCGUAACAAGGUUUCCGUAGGUGAACCUGCGGAAGGAUCAUUA